AGUUGUAAUUUGUAGAGGAUGCUUUUGGUGAGGUGCCGCCCGAGUUCCCUGGAACGGGACGCCACAGAGGGUGAGAGCCCCGUCUGGCUGGCCACCGAGCCUCUGUAAAGCUCCUUCGACGAGUCGAGUAGUUUGGGAAUGCUGCUCAAAAUGGGAGGUAUAUGUCUUCUAAAGCUAAAUAUUGGCCAGAGACCGAUAGCGCACAAGUAGAGUGAUCGAAAGAUGAAAAGCACCUUGAAAAGAGGGUUAAACAGUACGUGAAAUUGUUGAAAGGGAAGCGCUUGUGACCAGACUUGGGCGCGGCGAAUCAUCCGGGGUUCUCUCCGGUGCACUUCGCCGUGUUCAGGCCAGCAUCAGUUCGGCGCGGGGGAAAAAGGCUUCGGGAACGUGGCUGCUCCGGCAGUGUUAUAGCCCGUUGCAUAAUACCCUGCGCUGGACUGAGGACCGCGCAUCUGCAAGGAUGCUGGNGUAAUGGUCACCAGCGACCCGUCUUGAAA
rnacentral:rRNA from 1 species